CCUACGGGUGGCAGCAGUGGGGAAUCUUCCGCAAUGGGCGAAAGCCUGACGGAGCAACGCCGCGUGAUCGAAUGAAGGCCUUCGGGUUGUAAAGAUCUGUUGACAGGGACGAAUAAGCAAUGCGAAUAGUUUUGUGUAUGACGGUACCUGUUUAGAAAGCUCCGGCUAACUACGUGCCAGCAGCCGCGGUAAUACGUAGGGAGCAAGCGUUGUCCGGAAUUACUGGGCGUAAAGGGCGCGUAGGUGGGCGCUUAAAUCGGGUGUGAAAACGCCGGGCUCAACCUGGAGACUGCACUUGAAACUGGGUGUCUUGAGGGCAGGAGAGGAAAGUGGAAUUCCUAGUGUAGCGGUGAAAUGCGUAGAUAUUAGGAGGAACACCAGUGGCGAAGGCAGCUUACCAAACUACGACUGACGUUGAGGCACGAAAGCGUGGGGAGCAAACAGGAUUAGAUACCCGAGUAGUC
rnacentral:rRNA from 1 species